GAAGGAAAGGUGAAAAGGACCCCGGGAGGGGAGUGAAAGAGAACCUGAAACCCUGUGUUUACAAGCUGUGGAACAUCUUUAUAUGAUGAACCGCGUACUUUUUGUAGAACGGUCCGGCGAGUUACGCCAUCUGGCGAGGUUAAGUACUAAAGGUACGGAGCCGAAGUGAAAACAAGUCUUAACAGGGCGUUAAGUCAGAUGGAGUAGACCCGAAACCGGGUGAUCUAUCCAUGUCCAGGAUGAAGAUGCCGUAAAAGGCAUUGGAGGUCCGAAGCCACAUCCGUUGAAAAGGGUGGGGAUGAGGUGUGGAUAGGGGAGAAAUUCCAAUCGAACCCGGAGAUAGCUGGUUCUCCUCGAAAUAGCUUUAGGGCUAGCCUCGAUACAGAUUUGCGGAGGUAGAGCACUGAAUUUCCUAGGGGGCGUCAAAGCCUACCGAAGAAUAUCAAACUCCGAAUGCCGCGUAAUCGAUUAUCGGGAGUCAGACUGCACGAGAUAAGUUGGGCGGUCAAAAGGGAAAGAGCCCAGACCUUCAGUUAAGGUCCCCAAGUGCGCGUUAAGUGGAAAAGGAUGUGGGAUUUCGAAGACAACCAGGAUGUUGGCUCAGAAGCAGCCAUACAUUCAAAGAGUGCGUAAUAGCUCACUGGUCGAGAGGUCCUGCGCCGAAAAUGUCCGGGGCUGAAACGCGCCACCGAAACUAAGGAAUCUGAAAAGAUUGGUAGAGGAGCAUUGCAUGCGGGAAGAAGCAGUACCGGAAGGAGCUGUGGACUGCAUGGAAGAGAGAAUGCCGGAAUGAGUAGCGAGAUAGAGGUGGGAAUCCUCUAGGCCGAAUAUCCAAGGUUUCCAGAGUAAAGCUGAUCUGCUCUGGGUAAGUCGGGGCCUAAGGCGAGGACGAGAGUCGUAGCCGAUGGACAACAGGUGGAGAUUCCUGUACUGCGGUAUGACAGAACUGUGGGGACACGUAAGGAAAGCGGAAGCCGGGAAUGGAAAGCCCGGUGCAAGCGGGGUACCAGUCACUCAGGCAAAUCCGGGUGGCAAUGGGAAGCCGUGAUGCGGAGUGAAAUAAAGUAACGAAGUCCGUGAGCCAUGCGUCAAGAAAAGCCGCUAUCGUUUAUACCGUACCCGUACCGUAAACCGACACAGGUGGAUGAGGAGAGAAUCCUAAGGCCGGCGGAAGAAGCAUUGUCAAGGAACUCGGCAAAAUGGCCCCGUAACUUAGGGAUAAGGGGUGCCUGGGAAACCAGGCCGCAGAGAAUAGGCUCAAGCAACUGUUUAGCAAAAACACAGGUCUAUGCGAAACCGAAAGGUGAGGUAUAUGGGCUGACGCCUGCCCGGUGCUGGAAGGUUAAGAGGAGAGGUUAGCGCAAGCGAAGCUUUGAAUUUAAGCCCCAGUAAACGGCGGCCGUAACUAUAACGGUCCUAAGGUAGCGAAAUUCCUUGUCGGGUAAGUUCCGACCCGCACGAAAGGCGUAAUGAUUUGAGCGCUGUCUCGACAAUGCACCCGGUGAAAUUGAAAUACCAGUGAAGAUGCUGGUUACCUGCGCCAGGACGGAAAGACCCCAUGGAGCUUUACUCCAGCUUGAUACUGGGAUUCGGUAUUGCAUGUACAGGAUAGGUGGGAGGCUAUGAGUAUGGAACUCCGGUUUCAUAUGAGCCGCUGUUGGG
rnacentral:rRNA from 1 species